AACUUUGACCUCAAAUCAGGUAGGACUACCCGCUGAACUUAAGCAUAUCAAUAAGCCGGAGGAAA
rnacentral:rRNA from 1 species